rnacentral:rRNA from 1 species
GAGACCUCAGGUCAGGCGGGACUACCCGCUGAAUUUAAGCAUAUCAAUAAGCGGAGGAAAAGAAACUAACAAG